UGGGGAAUUUUGGACAAUGGGCGAAAGCCUGAUCCAGCAAUGCCGCGUGUGUGAAGAAGGCCUUCGGGUUGUAAAGCACUUUUGUCCGGAAAGAAAUCCUUGGCUCUAAUACAGUCGGGGGAUGACGGUACCGGAAGAAUAAGCACCGGCUAACUACGUGCCAGCAGCCGCGGUAAUACGUAGGGUGCAAGCGUUAAUCGGAAUUACUGGGCGUAAAGCGUGCGCAGGCGGUUUGCUAAGACCGAUGUGAAAUCCCCGGGCUCAACCUGGGAACUGCAUUGGUGACUGGCAGGCUAGAGUAUGGCAGAGGGGGGUAGAAUUCCACGUGUAGCAGUGAAAUGCGUAGAGAUGUGGAGGAAUACCGAUGGCGAAGGCAGCCCCCUGGGCCAAUACUGACGCUCAUGCACGAAAGCGUGGGGAGCAAAACAGGAUUAGAUACCCUGGUAGUCCACGCCCUAAACGAUGUCAACUAGUUGUUGGGGAUUCAUUUCCUUAGUAACGUAGCUAACGCGUGAAGUUGACCGCCUGGGGAGUACGGUCGCAAGAUUAAAACUUAAGGAAUUGACGGGGUCAUAGCUGUUUCCU
rnacentral:rRNA from 1 species